rnacentral:rRNA from 1 species
CACGCUGUAAACGAUGAGUGCUAGGUGUUGGGUAGCGAUAUUCAGUGCCGCAGCAAACGCAAUAAGCACUCCGCCUGGGGAGUACGGUCGCAAGACUAAAACUCAAAGGAAUUGACGGGGACCCGCACAAGCAGCGGAGCAUGUGGUUUAAUUCGAAGCAACGCGAAGAACCUUACCAAGGCUUGACAUCCCCUUGACAGGUGCAGAGAUGUACCCUCUCCUUCGGGAGCAAGGGUGACAGGUGG